UUACAGCCAUAUCACGUUGAAAUACCGGUUCUCGUACGAUCACCGAAGUUAAGCAACGUUGAGUUUGGUGGGUACUGAUAUGGGUGAGAGCUUAGGCAUAAUAGGUGCUA